rnacentral:lncRNA from 1 species
AAGGUAAUGAAAAAGCCAAGCUGGGAAGGCAGGCUGGUGACAAGUAUGGUCCCUGCGCAUUCCUCGGGCUGACGGUAGGAAAAAUACCAAUGCGUCCAGCAGGGAGGAAGUAUGUAUCUCCCACUGGAGUUCACUGGAUUUGUCAUUUUCGGUUUAAUGCACCUAGGUAGCAAGCCGACUCACUAGGUUUGACUGCAAUUACCUUAUCUUUCCUAUUUUUAGUGACAGGACCAGAUUAUUUUAAGUGCAUUUUAUAGAAAACCCUUCUUUACUGAAGUAUAAAGACUGUAAUAAAGACAAUACAAUGUUUUGAAACUGUUUUAAAUCCUUCACUCAGCGUUGCUUCUACAGAUUUAACAUGUAGGGGUUCUAAUCUUACCGCUACUAAUUAGAGCUUUAGUGUAAUUGUGCCAACAGGGUGCUUGGCAUAAUAAUUACUAUUGAGAGAUUCUGGUGGCGCAGUAACAUGCCUACAUAAUGCAGAUAUGUCUAGGAUUACAGUGCAGUCACCUUUGUAUGUUGACUCAAGUUGGAUUUUAACCAAGUAAGGGGUUAUUUUGCCUUUAUAAUAAAGCUUAAAAGGCAUAUACAUAUGUAUGAUUUAGGUAUCCAUUUUUCCUCUUUGAGUCUUUUGAAUAUUAAUUAGCAGGAACCC